UGGCUCAGGACGAACGCUGGCGGCGCGCCUAAUACAUGCAAGUCGAGCGAGAACCAAGACUUCGGUCCUGGGGAGAGCGGCGAACGGGUGCGUAUCACGUGAGCAACCUGCCUCGGAGACCGGAAUAACUCGAGGAAACUCGGGCUAAUGCCGGAUGCCCUCGGUGGACCGCAUGGUCCGGCGAGGAAAUGGAUUCCGCUCCGAGAUGGGCUCGCGGCCUAUCAGCUUGUUGGUGGGGUAACGGCCUACCAAGGCAACGACGGGUAGCUGGUCUGAGAGGACGAUCAGCCACACUGGGACUGAGACACGGCCCAGACUCCUACGGGAGGCAGCAGUAGGGAAUCUUGCGCAAUGGGGGAAACCCUGACGCAGCGACGCCGCGUGCGGGAUGAAGGCCUUCGGGUCGUAAACCGCUUUCAGCAGGGACGAAAUUGACGGUACCUGCAGAAGAAGGCCCGGCCAACUACGUGCCAGCAGCCGCGGUGAUACGUAGGGGUCUAGCGUUGUCCGGAAUUAUUGGGCGUAAAGAGCUCGUAGGCGGUUCGGCAAGUCGGAUGUGAAAUCUCCACGCUUAACGUGGAGGGGCCAUUCGAAACUGCCGUGACUCGAGUCCGGUAGGGGAGUUCGGAAUUCCCGGUGUAGCGGUGAAAUGCGCAGAUAUCGGGAGGAACACCAGUGGCGAAGGCGGAACUCUGGGCCGGAACUGACGCUGAGGAGCGAAAGCGUGGGGAGCGAACAGGAUUAGAUACCCUGGUAGUCCACGCCGUAAACGUUGGGCACUAGGUGUGGGGUUCUAUCGACGGAUUCCGUGCCGUAGCUAACGCAUUAAGUGCCCCGCCUGGGGAGUACGGCCCGCAGGCUAAAACUCAAAG
rnacentral:rRNA from 1 species